CAAAAACCAAGAAAAAAACACACCAGCAGGAAUCCUUCACCUUGGUUUGUAUUUUGCUCCUUCAGCCUUGAGACUUCACAGUGCAGGACUCGUAACUCUUCCAGUAAUUCUCCAAGCCUGGGAUCACUAACGGGAACUCUGUCAAGGCUAGCCAGCGUUUCUCUUUGCUCGUUAAGCCGCAGCUGCACUCUUUCGAGUUGCUU
rnacentral:lncRNA from 1 species